CGCCCGGCCGGAUCCCGUGGGGGGAAUCCGCUCCGGGAUAUGGGAAGCGCCUCGCUGUCGGC
rfam:Streptomyces sp. Ncost-T10-10d genome assembly, contig: Ga0115254_1191